GGCGGCGUGCUUAACACAUGCAAGUCGAGCGAUGAAGCUUCCUUCGGGAAGUGGAUUAGCGGCGGACGGGUGAGUAACACGUGGGUAACCUGCCUCAAAGUGGGGGAUAGCCUUCCGAAAGGAAGAUUAAUACCGCAUAAUAUGAGAGAAUCGCAUGAUUUUUUUAUCAAAGAUUUAUUGCUUUGAGAUGGACCCGCGGCGCAUUAGCUAGUUGGUAAGGUAACGGCUUACCAAGGCAACGAUGCGUAGCCGACCUGAGAGGGUGAUCGGCCACAUUGGAACUGAGACACGGUCCAGACUCCUACGGGAGGCAGCAGUGGGGAAUAUUGCGCAAUGGGGGAAACCCUGACGCAGCAACGCCGCGUGGGUGAUGAAGGUCUUCGGAUUGUAAAGCCCUGUUUUCUGGGACGAUAAUGACGGUACCAGAGGAGGAAGCCACGGCUAACUACGUGCCAGCAGCCGCGGUAAUACGUAGGUGGCGAGCGUUGUCCGGAUUUACUGGGCGUAAAGGGUGCGUAGGCGGAUGUUUAAGUGGGAUGUGAAAUCCCCGGGCUUAACCUGGGGGCUGCAUUCCAAACUGGAUAUCUAGAGUGCAGGAGAGGAAAGCGGAAUUCCUAGUGUAGCGGUGAAAUGCGUAGAGAUUAGGAAGAACACCAGUGGCGAAGGCGGCUUUCUGGACUGUAACUGACGCUGAGGCACGAAAGCGUGGGUAGCAAACAGGAUUAGAUACCCUGGUAGUCCACGCCGUAAACGAUGGAUACUAGGUGUAGGGGGUAUCAACUCCCCCCUGUGCCGCCAGUUAA
rnacentral:rRNA from 1 species